rfam:Sphaerobolus stellatus SS14 unplaced genomic scaffold SPHSTscaffold_6, whole genome shotgun sequence.
GGCCGCCUGGCGUAAUGGCAACGCGUUUGACUUCGAUCGUCUCACGUAAAGGAUAUCAAAAGAUUACAGGUUCGAUCCCUGUGGUGGUCG